ensembl:lncRNA
CCAGAGUGAACUUAUUGAUUGGAUUUUUAUGCUUAACUUUUUAGGACUUAUUAAAUACAUUUGUUUGAUCUUUCAUUUGCUGGCUUUGCUCCUUCUUUAAAAGAGCUGGGAAUUUGCAACAGCAGUUUAUCUUGUGAAGAGUCCUCUCCACUUCUCCCCAAAUACCCAAGUGUACAACUAAGGAUGUAUAUCAUGGCCAUGAUACUUUGAAAAAUACUGCAAUACACAUUUCCAACUCUUCGAGGUGUGUGUAUCUGUGUUUGAGUGAGGAGGGACAGGGUGCUGGUUUCAAUCUUCUUGCUAAAGGAACUUCCUUAAAAAUAAAUAUGCUGAAAAGUAAUGACAGGAAACUUCACCAAAUCAAAAAAGAGGAUGUCAGGAAGUACAGGAUGUGAGGUUGUUUUCAUUUCCUUCAGUGCUAUUCUUAUUAAUCAUAUAUAUUUAUAACUUUAAAAAGCUGAAAAAGUUC